GCCCAGUGACCCAGACAUCAAUGACAACUGUGCUAUCAUGGCUCACAUCGACCGCAGCCUCUUGCUGCCUCCCCCCUGGGUCCGGCCGCACGCAGCCAACGAGGCAGAAAUGCCGAUGCCUUUCACUAAACGCUGAUGAUUAAAAUGAAAUGAAGAGCAUCAGGAUGGAUCAUUGUGGGGAGGACAGGGGGAAGUUCAUUAUGACUGACAGACAGCCUGUGGCAGCACAGAUUGCUCGUGAUAGUGCAGCGGGGACUGUGCAUCACACGUGUGGGUAUCGGAUCUAUUAUACAUGAGGGUUAUUUUCAGCAUCCCCUGCAGGUCAUGCUUUACCAGCUAAAUCAAAGCUAAAGGUAUUAGCUGGCCUUUAUGCCUUGUGGCAAUUAGAUUACAAUUUUCUGAAUGCCAUGUGGUGCAGGUCAGAUUGGACCUAUGGGGUUUUCUAUGAUGAAGGUGGCCCUGCUCAUUGCAGGGGGGAUGGACUAAAUGACCUUUGAAGGUCCCUUCCAACCUGUACUAUUCUGUGAUUCUGUUCUAUGAUUCUAGCUUCAAAAGAUCUACUGGCUUCCUCUGAUCAGGCUUUCUGAGAUGGGGCUGUCUGUGCUGGCCUGGGCCACAUUAAUAUAAGCUAAUGAUGUAAUGGUUUACUAAAAGUGAUUUGAUGACACUUGAGGCUCCCUUCUCCCUAAAAUAAACAGCAGUCAUGAGGAAGGAUUGAGCUCAGCUAUGUAGGUACUAAUAAGCUUUAGUGGCCUUGAGCAGCUUCACCUGGGAGCCCCACUGACCCUCUGCCCAUUGCUCCAUAUAAGCUUGGAGCCAGAAAUGCUGACUCUCUCCAAAGCAGCCUCCUGCUCCACACACAGGCCUAAACCAUCUGUGCUCGGGUGGUGGUGAGUGAUUCGCCAUCCCCAGCCCUGACCCUGUGCCUCAGGAUGGCCACAUCCAAAGUGUUCCAGCUCUGUUCCUCCUGAGUGAGCAGGAUUGAGGUUAUCCGGAUGCAGCCUCAUCAAAAACGGCUCGGGAGGCUCCCAGUAAGAAAGCUCCUGGUGCUCCGAUGCUCACUUUGGAUCUUCAAAGACUAACAGGAGCAGAGUUGCGCUCGCAGUUAAGGUAUCAAAGCUGUGAUGCUGCU